rnacentral:lncRNA from 1 species
GCAGGAACAAAGACCUUCGUGGUCAGGUUGAUCGUGCCCCCGCGUGAUCAAUAACCCUCUGGAGUUGGUGUAUCCAUUGCUAAGGCGCUGCAUUCUAGGCGGUAGUCGGAUCGUCAACGUCAGCUCCUACCCAAAUCGAGAGUUAUCAAUCUAGACAGAUCGGGCCACCCCGACCCAUAUCACCCAUACUGUAAAUCUAGAAAAAUUCGGCAUGACCCGUGCUAUAAAGCUAGCGAAUUGGUCUACCCGAUAAUGAAACCUGCAUAAAAAUUACCCACCCACAUAUACUCCCUCGGCGUGAUGGCCGGCCCCUUAAAUUUCAACGGCCUCGGCACGAUGGCCGGGCCAAAAUCAAGCAUAUUCAAUUGUAUAAAAAAAAAAUACACUAAUCGCCCUAAUCCUUAACCCUACCGUCAUGCAUAUUCAUAUCCAUUAUAUGAUAUAUAUUCAAGCGAAUCCUUUGACCAACAAUGUGAGGCGUAUUAGUUUUCCUUUGACCAAUGCUUUGACCCG